ensembl:lncRNA
GUUAGGGGCGGGCCCGGAGGACUUAAACCACGCCCGAGGCCAGGGGCCGUGGUGGGGAGGAGCAACCCCACCUCCAAGGAGCGGUGGCUGCACGGGCGCAGGAGGGCCUAGAGGGGGUAUUAUUCUACGUUCAAGCCAGUUACCCGUCUCCCUGUCUCCAGCCCUGUGACUGUCCAUCACUGUCUACACUGCAGCCAGAGCAUCCUUCUGAAGCACUACAUCUAUCUUCAUCACUUUCCACUCCCCAGGACCUCCCAACCCAGAACAGGCCCUGAAGGCAAAGCACACCCCACUGAAGCAUCGUUUGAGUGCGGAUCCCUGCAAGGAGAAGGCAGAAGCAGAGGAAAAGAAUCAGUUUUUAGAAACACUAAACAGUGGGACAAGCAUCCAUUUGCCUCUGAGAAAGUAUUUUAACCCACAUUCCGCCUUUAUGGAGAAAGUGAAGUGAAAGAGGACCUGAUGAAGCCCGUCAGCCCCGAGCAGAUCCAACCUGCCCCUCAAAGUGACGUCACCAGGAGGGAGCCCGGGCGCUUCACUGGAGAGAGCAGCAUUCUUCUGACGCCUCCCAAGUGAGGCCUGAGCGGUCCAGGCGGAGCACUGCCUGCAGUUUAGUCAGGAAGGGCUGGCCCCGGCCCCCAGGACCCCUACCAGGGAUCUUGAGCAUGCAGUUAAGGGGCCUCACUCGCUCUGAGUGCCAGUGAGCCAGCCUCUUUGGACGUGGGAUGCUCAUUUUGGGUAGGGGGUUAGAGUCAAAAGCCUUGGCUGUGAAAACUGAUCAUUUUAAUGAAGUCCCAUGAGACUUGACAUGGAGCACUUUUCCAAGGUUGAAAAUAGCUUUUCCUGGAACCCCCACCUGUGUGCUGGUACCCAGGGAAGGUAUUUCCGUCCCAGCAGCACCUCUCAUGUUGGCUUGUCUAAAGGGAUUGAUGAGCAGCCUGUUCUUGUUCUUUGUGGUGACGGAGUAGCACCCAGGGACGGAGAAGUGAGAAAGCUUUAAUACCUACUCCUGUUACCUGACUCUUUCCACCACGUUUAAAGAAAAUUACAUCCCCAUUGCGGUAGCAGCUAUAUCAUUAAGGG